AAUGAACGUUGGCGGCGUGGAUUAGGCAUGCAAGUCGUGCGGCAGCAGGCCCCGCAAGGGGUGCUGGCGAGCGGCGAAAGGGUCAGUAACACGUGGAUAACCUACCCCCGGGCCCGGAAUAGCGGCGGGAAACUGCCGGUAAUGCCGGACAAUGUCCCUGGACCAAAGGUGUGAUUCCGUCCGAGGAUGGGUCCGCGUCCUAUUAGCUAGUUGGUGAGGUAACGGCCCACCAAGGCAAAGAUGGGUAGGGGGGGUGAGAGCAUGACCCCCGACACUGGGACUGAGACACUGCCCAGACACCUACGGGUGGCUGCAGUCGAGAAUCUUCGGCAAUGGGCGCAAGCCUGACCGAGCGACGCCGCGUGCGGGAUGAAGGCCUUCGGGUUGUAAACCGCUGUCAGAGGGGCGGAAAUAUGUUGGAGUUCUCUCCAGCAUUUGACUUAACCUCAGAGGAAGCAUGGGCUAAGUUCGUGCCAGCCGCCGCGGUAAAAC
rnacentral:rRNA from 1 species